AAGAGACGUUGCCCUUCGGGGUAUACCUCCCACCCUUUGUUUAUUAUACCUUUGUUGCUUUGGCGGGCCCGUCCUCGGACCACCGGCUUCUGCUGGUCAGUGCCCGCCAGAGGACCUAAAACUCUGUUUGUUGAUAUUGUCUGAGUACUAUAUAAUAGUUA
rnacentral:misc_RNA from 1 species